GACGAACGCUGGCGGCGUGCCUAAUACAUGCAAGUUGAGCGAUGAAGCUUGGUGCUUGCCCCAAUUUGAAGAGCAGCGAACGGGUGAGUAACGCGUGGGGAAUCUGCCUUUGAGCGGGGGACAACAUUUGGAAACGAAUGCUAAUACCGCAUAAUAACUUUAAACAUAAGUUUUAAGUUUGAAAGAUGCAAUUGCAUCACUCAAAGAUGAUCCCGCGUUGUAUUAGCUAGUUGGUGAGGUAAAGGCUCACCAAGGCGAUGAUACAUAGCCGACCUGAGAGGGUGAUCGGCCACAUUGGGACUGAGACACGGCCCAAACUCCUACGGGAGGCAGCAGUAGGGAAUCUUCGGCAAUGGACGAAAGUCUGACCGAGCAACGCCGCGGGAGUGAAGAAGGGUUUCGGAUCGUAAAACUCUGUUGGUAGAGAAGAACGUUGGUGAGAGUGGAAAGCUCAUCAAGUGACGGUAACUACCCAGAAAGGGACGGCUAACUACGUG
rnacentral:rRNA from 1 species